rnacentral:rRNA from 1 species
AGUGAACGCUGGCGGUAGGCCUAACACAUGCAAGUCGAACGGCAGCACAGUAAGAGCUUGCUCUUACGGGUGGCGAGUGGCGGACGGGUGAGGAAUACAUCGGAAUCUACUUUUUCGUGGGGGAUAACGUAGGGAAACUUACGCUAAUACCGCAUACGACCUACGGGUGGAAGCAGGGGAUCUUCGGACCUUUCGCGAUUGAAUGAGCCGAUGUCGGAUUAGCUAGUUGGCGGGGUAAAGGCCCACCAAGGCGACGAUCCGUAGCUGGUCUGAGAGGAUGAUCAGCCACACUGGAACUGAGACACGGUCCAGACUCCUACGGGAGGCAGCAGUGGGGAAUAUUGGACAAUGGGCGCAAGCCUGAUCCAGCCAUACCGCGUGGGUGAAGAAGGCCUUCGGGUUGUAAAGCCCUUUUGUUGGGAAAGAAAAGCAGCAGGUUAAUACCCCGCUGUUCUGACGGUACCCAAAGAAUAAGCACCGGCUAACUUCGUG